rnacentral:rRNA from 1 species
AUUGAACGCUGGCGGCAGGCCUAACACAUGCAAGUCGAACGGUAACAGGAAGCAGCUUGCUGCUUUGCUGACGAGUGGCGGACGGGUGAGUAAUGUCUGGGAAACUGCCUGAUGGAGGGGGAUAACUACUGGAAACGGUAGCUAAUACCGCAUAACGUCGCAAGACCAAAGAGGGGGACCUUCGGGCCUCUUGCCAUCGGAUGUGCCCAGAUGGGAUUAGCUAGUAGGUGGGGUAACGGCUCACCUAGGCGACGAUCCCUAGCUGGUCUGAGAGGAUGACCAGCCACACUGGAACUGAGACACGGUCCAGACUCCUACGGGAGGCAGCAGUGGGGAAUAUUGCACAAUGGGCGCAAGCCUGAUGCAGCCAUGCCGCGUGUAUGAAGAAGGCCUUCGGGUUGUAAAGUACUUUCAGCGGGGAGGAAGGGAGUAAAGUUAAUACCUUUGCUCAUUGACUUACCCG